AGAAAGUUUGUGUAAUCAGACCAAGUAUCAGCGUCUGACAAUGAGAAAAAACUCCCAAAAGCCUCGGUAUACACUGGCGUGCUCGUCCCAAGCUGUAGUGUGGCGAUGUCUAGCAGCGAUCUGAGAGUCGGAGCAAAGGCUUGGUGCGUGCGUGGUGCAUGGAAACUUUUAUUUUUCUAGUAUUUUGUACGAGUUAUGUGCAGUGAUAAAGCGUGUAUGGCGGCGCGAUCAACACGUGAAAGUGUCGCGGUCUGGUACGAAGUGAAGGCAAGUGACGUGUGAGGAGCAGCGCCCAGUAUGAAGGGAUAGAAGUGUAGUGAUGUUGGCUGGGAGGGUCCGUGGCUGCAAGAUGUGAGCGAGAGAGAAGGCUAGGUACUUUAAUGAAAUAUGCGCCCCAGGCCGUCCCUGAGCCUUGCCAGUGAAGCCCCACCGCAACUUCUCAACUUUUCUUUGUUUCUUGUGCAAGUGUAGAUAGAUAGUGGGUGCGGUGUGUAGUACCGGCGCUGGCCACGGCUCUCGUCUAGUGAUACAAAGUCUACCGUGAGAGCUUGGAAGUAAUUAAAUAAUACCUAAAAAAAAAAAAGAAGCAGAGUGGCGUGAUGUGUGCUGGAAAAGGGAGGAAUAUGCAUGGUAGUGCGUGAAAGGGUUGCAGCACAUCUCGGGAAGCAAGUGGGGAUGUGGAGCGGCUAGGACUUUACUGUGAUGUGAUGUGUGAUGAAUGUUGCCACCACUGACACUCGGCUUGGAGGUACUACUUGAGUGUAAGGUGUGUGGAGGCCGCGCUCACCGCCACCGACGUUUGACAGUAAAGGACAUAAGGGUUACGGUAAUUGGACCAGGCUGGCAGGACGAGAUGGUCUCACUCGCAUCUGGCUACAGCAAACACAUCGCCAGAAGGCCUGAGGCAGAAUCUUGGCCUCUCAUUCUCUCUCACCUCUCCCUCACCCUGGCCUCUCAUCUGUCUUGGCCUCUCCAUCACCCACACCUCGGGAGACCAACUACCACAAGUACUUCCAAGUAAACUCGUGUACAUUCUUUGGCACCUGAGCUCAUACUGGGUUUAGUGCCAUCGUGUUCAAGUUCUUCCUUGGUGCCAAAACGAGGAAAAAUCAGGUUUCACUUCACGUCAAGACAAGAAGAUUCUCGUAGUGCCAAGACAAAGGAAGAUUUCUCAGUGCCAAGACGAGAAGGAUUCAUUUAGUGCCAAAAUAAGGUGUGACGUCGUGCCAAAAUAAGAAGUGACAUAGUGCCAAAAUAAGGAGUGACGUAGUGCCAAAAUAAGGAGUGACGUAGUGCCAAAAUAAGGAGUGACGUAGUGCCAAAAUAAGGAGUGACGUAGUGCCAAAAUAAGGAGUGACGUAGUGCCAAAAUCGUAAAUAAAGUGAGUAUAGUUUAUAGUGAAGUGUCGUGUGCGCCAGAAAGGUUCGUCAACUCGUCUUAUUUAUCUAACUCGUGUGGAAUUUUUGUAGUGCGGAUCCAAGUGCCCCCAAAAAUAUAGUUUCCCGGAAAAUAUACGAAUAAUUUGUGAAAUAUUGUGUUAUAGUUAUCUUGUUAGUGAAGUGCAAUAUUUGUAUCAGAAAAAAACCAAGACUUUAUUAAUUAGCUUGUAAAAAAGAAAAAGAUUGAAAUAUUCUGUGUUUUGAAGCAGUUUCGGUUAAUAUUUGCUCGUUCGUGAUUAGAAAAUUAUAUUUGUUGAUAUAUUUCUUUCAUUAUUUCGCGUAAAGACUCAGAUAAAGACGGAUAAAAUUAUGCAGUUCCAUCACCUCCUCCUCGUCAGCCACAAGAACCGCGGUAGUUCCUUCCAAGACACUGGAUGAACCACCUUAGCUAUCCUUGGCCAUUUGACUCCCAAGACAUGCCAGAGCGACUAAGAGGAGUUCGUCACCGGGAGGCCUGGCACGCCCCAGUGUAGUGUGUGUGGCGUCACCAGUGUUGUGAGUGUUGAGGUAAUCGGAAACGCAUUACCCACUUGAGACGCCACAUUGGAGGAGAGAGAGAGAGAGACAUGAUGAAGGACAUACGGGAAUAUGGCUUUGUGUUACACUGCUAUGUCGUGGAGGUGUUGUGCUACUAAGAGUGUUUAGUGCCGUGAGUGUAAAUACAUGGUGUGUGUAGCCGGUGUCGUCCAGGGCCCCCUUACACUCCGUGACUCACCAAAAUGGGGCAAAGCCACGGACGACUGAACGACUCUGAGCGCAAGACCAACUCGAGCUUCUCCCACGAUUCUGAUAUCAGCUUGAGCACCCACAGCGCCGACUUCUCCCUCACCCCUCCCAGGUCCCGCAAGGCCGUGUCCUU